rnacentral:rRNA from 1 species
AGAGUUUGAUCAUGGCUCAGAGCGAACGCUGGCGGCGUGCUUAACACAUGCAAGUCGAACGCGCAGCAUUCUGUAGCAAUACAGGAUGUGGGCGCGUGGCGGACGGGUGCGUAACACGUGGAUAACCUUCCUUGAGGUGGGGAAUAACCCAGUGAAAAUUGGGCUAAUACCGCAUAACAUCGCGAUGGCACAUGCUGAUGCGAUCAAAGGCGCAAGUCGCCACAAGAGGGAUCCGCGGCCGAUUAGCUUGUUGGCGAGGUAAUGGCUCACCAAGGCAAUGAUCGGUAGCCGGACUGAGAGGUUGGCCGGCCACACUGGAACUGAGACACGGUCCAGACUCCUACGGGAGGCAGCAGUGGGGAAUCUUGCACAAUGGACGAAAGUCUGAUGCAGCAACGCCGCGUGGGGGGUGAAGCUUCUCGGAGUGUAAACCCCUUUCGACCCGGAAGAAUGCCCGCAAGGGUAUGACGGUACGGGUAUAAGAAGCCCCGGCUAACUACGUGCCAGCAGCCGCGGUAAUACGUAGGGGGCCAGCGUUGCUCGGAAUUACUGGGCGUAAAGGGUCCGUAGGCGGUGUAGCAAGUCGAUAGUGAAAUCUCUGCGCUUAACGCAGAGGCUGCUAACGAAACUGCUGUGCUAGAGUGUGAGAGAGGCGAGUGGAAUUACGGGUGUAGCGGUGAAAUGCGUAGAUAUCCGUAGGAACAUCCGAGGCGAAGGCGGCUCGCUGGAUCACAACUGACGCUGAGGGACGAAAGCUAGGGGAGCAAACAGGAUUAGAUACCCUGGUAGUCCUAGCCCUAAACCAUCAGGACUUGGGGUUUGCCCUGUAUGGGGCAAGUCCCGUAGCUAACGCGUUAAGUCCUGCGCCUGGGGAGUACGGUCGCAAGGCUGAAACUCAAAGGAAUUGACGGGGGCCCGCACAAGCGGUGGAACAUGUGUUCAAUUU